UCCAGACUCCUACGGGAGGCAGCAGUGGGGGAUAUUGCACAAUGGGGGGAACCCUGAUGCAGCGACGCCGCGUGGGUGAAGGAGCGUUUCGGCGCGUAAAGCCCUAUCGGCAGGGAAGAAGGAGGACGGUACCUGACUAAGAAGCCCCGGCUAACUACGUGCCAGCAGCCGCGGUAAUACGUAGGGGGCAAGCGUUAUCCGGAUUUACUGGGUGUAAAGGGGGCGCAGACGGCAGCGCAAGCCAGGAGUGAAAGCCCGGGGCCCAACCCCGGGACUGCUCUUGGAACUGCGCGGCUGGAGUGCAGGAGGGGCAGGCGGAAUUCCUGGUGUAGCGGUGAAAUGCGUAGAUAUCAGGAGGAACACCGGCGGCGAAGGCGGCCUGCUGGACUGCGACUGACGUUGAGGCCCGAAAGCGUGGGGAGCAAACAGGAUUAGAUACCCGGGUA
rnacentral:rRNA from 1 species